rnacentral:rRNA from 1 species
GCGCGAAAACUUUACAAUGCCGGCAACGGCGAUAAGGGGACCUCGAGUGCCAGGUUACAAAUCUGGCUGUCGUGAUGCCUAAAAAGCAUUGCAUAGCAAGGGCCGGGCAAGACCGGUGCCAGCCGCCGCGGUAACACCGGCGGCUCGAGUGGUAACCGUUAUUAUUGGGUCUAAAGGGUCUGUAGCCGGCCAGAUAAGUCUCUUGAGAAAUCCAGCAGCUCAACUGUUGGGCUUUCAGGAGAUACUGUCUGGCUCGAGGCCGGGAGAGGUGAGAGGUACUUCAGGGGUAGGGGUGAAAUCUUGUAAUCCUUGAAGGACCACCAGUGGCGAAGGCGUCUCACCAGAACGGACCUGACGGCAAGGGACGAAAGCUAGGGGCACGAACCGGAUUAGAUACCCGGGUAGUCCUAGCCGUAAACGAUACUCGCUAGGUGUCGGCCACGGUGCGACCGUUGUCGGUGCCGUAGGGAAGCCGUGAAGCGAGCCACCUGGGAAGUACGGCCGCAAGGCUGAAACUUAAAGGAAUUGGCGGGGG